rnacentral:misc_RNA from 1 species
GAUGAAGAACGUAGCGAAAUGCGAUAAGUAAUGUGAAUUGCAGAAUUCAGUGAAUCAUCGAAUCUUUGAACGCAUCUUGCGCUCCUUGGUAUUCUGAGGAGCAUGCCUGUUUGAGUGUCAUUAAAUUCUCAACUACACUGACUUUGAAUUGGUGUGGCUUGGAUUUGGGGGGAAAAUUGUUGUGGGCUUUUUGUAUAGUCUGCUCCCCUGAAAUUGAUUAGCGGUACCUUUGUGGAACUGUCUACAGGUGUGAUAAUUAUCUACAUCUUAGACAUCUGCUGGAAUGCUGCUUUCUAAACCUUACUUGUAUUGACAAUCUUGACCUCAAAUCAGGUAGGACUACCCGCUGAACUUAAGCAUAUCAAUAAGCGAGGA